UACAGAGGGUGCGAGCGUUGUCCGGAAUCACUGGGCGUAAAGGGCGCGUAGGUGGCGACCCAAGUCCAUGGUGAAAGCUCGAUGCUCAACAUCGAGUCGGCCACGGAUACUGGGUUGCUGGAGCACUGUAGAGGCAGAUGGAAUUCCGGGUGUAGCGGUGGAAUGCGUAGAGAUCCGGAAGAACACCGGUGGCGAAGGCGGUCUGCUGGGCAGUUGCUGGCACUGAUGCGCGACAGCGUGGGGAGCAAACAGG
rnacentral:rRNA from 1 species